rnacentral:rRNA from 1 species
CAGCCGCCGCGGUAAUACGGGGGGAGCAAGCGUUGUCCGGAAUCACUGGGCGUAAAGGGCACGUAGGCGGCUUUGUAAGUUUCUGGUGAAAUCCUCCUGCUCAACGGGAGAAGUGCCAGAGAAACUGCAAGGAUUGAGUUCAGGAGAGGGAAGCGGAAUUCCUGGUGUAGCGGUGAAAUGCGUAGAUAUCAGGAAGAACACCGGUGGCGAAGGCGGCUUCCUGGCCUGAAACUGACGCUCAUGUGCGAAAGCGUGGGGAGCAAACAGGAUUAGAUACCCUGGUAGUCCACGCUGUAAACGAUGGAUACUUGGUGUUAGGUGGUCGACCCAUCUAGUGCCGGAGCUAACGCGUUAAGUAUCCCGCCUGGGGACUACGAUCGCAAGAUUGAAACUUAAAGGAAUUGGCGGG